GAUGAACGCUGGCGGCGUGCCUAAUACAUGCAAGUCGAGCGAACAGACGAGGAUCUUGCUCCUCUGACGUUAGCGGCGGACGGGUGAGUAACACGUGGAUAACCUACCUAUAAGACUGGGAUAACUUCGGGAAACCGGAGCUAAUACCGGAUAAUAUAUUGAACCGCAUGGUUCAAUAGUGAAAGACGGUUUUGCUGUCACUUAUAGAUGGAUCCGCGCCGCAUUAGCUAGUUGGUAAGGUAACGGCUUACCAAGGCAACGAUGCGUAGCCGACCUGAGAGGAUGAUCGGCCACACUGGAACUGAGACACAGUCCAGACUCCUACGGGAGGCAGCAGUAGGGAAUCUUCCACAAUGGGCGAAAGCUUGACGGAGCAACGCCGCGUGAGUGAUGAAGGUCUUCGGAUCGUAAAACUCUGUUAUUAGGGAAGAACAAAUGUGUAAGUAAAUAUGCACGUCUUGACGGUACCUAAUCAGAAAGCCACGGCUAACUACGUG
rnacentral:rRNA from 1 species